rnacentral:rRNA from 1 species
UACGAAGGGGGCUAGCGUUGCUCGGAAUCACUGGGCGUAAAGCGCACGUAGGCGGAUUGCUAAGUCAGGGGUGAAAUCCUGGAGCUCAACUCCAGAACUGCCUUUGAUACUGGCGAUCUCGAGUCCGGGAGAGGUGAGUGGAACUGCGAGUGUAGAGGUGAAAUUCGUAGAUAUUCGCAAGAACACCAGUGGCGAAGGCGGCUCACUGGCCCGGUACUGACGCUGAGGCGCGAAAGCGUGGGUAGCAAACGGG